AGCUCCAGUAGCGUAUAUUAAAGUUGUUGCAGUUAAAAAGCUCGUGGUUGAAUGCAAAACUAGUUGGUCAGGUUUACCUCGGUGAACUUGAUCGGCUUGUUUUUUUUGUUGGAUCCACUUAGAGUGCUCUUUAUUGGGUGCUUUAGGUGACCAACGAGUUUACUUUGAAAAAAUUAGAGUGCUCAAAGCAGGCUUUAGCCUGAAUUCUGUUGCAUGGAAUAAUAAAAUAGGACUUCGGUACUAUUUUGUUGGUUUUCUGUACAGAAGUAAUGAUUAAAAGGGACAGACGGGGGCAUUCGUAUUUCCGGGGGAGGGGUGAAAUCCGUAGAUCCUGGAAAGACGACCAACUGCGAAAGCAUUUGCCAAGAAUGUUUUCAUUAAUCAAGAACGAAAGUACGCA
rnacentral:rRNA from 1 species